GAAUAGUACAGUUGGUAGGACGCCUGCUUUCUAUGCAGGAGGAAAGGGUUCGAAUCCCGCGAUGAACU